UACGUAGGGUGCGAGCGUUGUCCGGAAUUAUUGGGCGUAAAGAGCUCGUAGGCGGUUUGUUGCGUCGGCCGUGAAAACUUGGGGCUUAACCCCGAGCCUGCGGUCGAUACGGGCAGACUUGAGUUCGGCAGGGGAGACUGGAAUUCCUGGUGUAGCGGUGAAAUGCGCAGAUAUCAGGAGGAACACCGGUGGCGAAGGCGGGUCUCUGGGCCGAUAUUGACGCUGAGGAGCGAAAGCGUGGGGAGCGAACAGG
rnacentral:rRNA from 1 species